rnacentral:rRNA from 1 species
GAUGAACGCUGGCGGCGUGCCUAAUACAUGCAAGUCGAGCGAACGGACGAGAAGCUUGCUUCUCUGAUGUUAGCGGCGGACGGGUGAGUAACACGUGGAUAACCUACCUAUAAGACUGGGAUAACUUCGGGAAACCGGAGCUAAUACCGGAUAAUAUUUUGAACCGCAUGGUUCAAAAGUGAAAGACGGUCUUGCUGUCACUUAUAGAUGGAUCCGCGCUGCAUUAGCUAGUUGGUAAGGUAACGGCUUACCAAGGCAACGAUGCAUAGCCGACCUGAGAGGGUGAUCGGCCACACUGGAACUUAGACACGGUCCAGACUCCUACGGGAGGCAGCAGUAGGGAAUCUUCCGCAAUGGGCGAAAGCCUGACGGAGCAACGCCGCGUGAGUGAUGAAGGUCUUCGGAUCGUAAAACUCUGUUAUUAGGGAAGAACAUAUGUGUAAUUAACUGUGCACAUCUUGACGGUACCUAAUCAGAAAGCCACGGCUAACUACGUG